rnacentral:rRNA from 1 species
UACGUAGGGUGCAAGCGUUAAUCGGAAUUACUGGGCGUAAAGCGUGCGCAGGCGGUUUUGUAAGUCUGUCGUGAAAUCCCCCGGGCUCAACCUGGGAAUUGCGAUGGAGACUGCAAGGCUAGAAUCUGGCAGAGGGGGGGUAGAAUUCCACGUGUAGCAGUGAAAUGCGUAGAGAUGUGGAGGAACACCGAUGGCGAAGGCAGCUCCCUGGGUCAAGAUUGACGCUCAUGCACGAAAGCGUGGGGAGCAAACAGG